UUGGAAUUAGUUGGAGUUAGUGACUUACAGGGGGAUUGAAGGCCAAAAGUCAGAGGGUCGGUUCUGGGCAUUCCAAAGAGAAGUCAGCCCACACGCCAGUCAGGUCCAUUCAUUACUUCGGAGAAUCCAUGCGUGGAUGCCAGUUGGUAGGCUGCUGCCCUGCACGUCACCAGCGGUGCGGGGCCCAGGGCGAGGGCCCUGCCGAGGGCAGCGGCGGGCGCCGGGUGGUGCCGCC